AGAGAGAAACCUACUCCUGCUUGACUCAUUCCUGGCGUCACCCUGGCCUGAUGAUUGGGAGUGGACAAGCAGAAAAGGUCUUGUUAUGUAACCCAUACUGGCGUCCAAAUCAUGGCAAUCCUUUUGCCUAAGCUUCCCAAGUGCUGGGAUUACAGGAUAACACAUAUCUUAAGAGCUGAGACAAAACAUGCUUAAUCUGCUGAGUGAGCAGCACCGUAAACACUAACUCUGCGAUACAGGAAACACACGCCACCAUGUGCAAGGAGCAUGUCCAUCAGUCCACGCCCCAGGUCACCACGAACAGACUCAAGGGGCAGUAAGGAGAAACAUUUU